CAGCCCUUGACAUGGGGAGUAUGAGCCGCAGAGACGCGGCUCUUCAGUUCGGCUGGCUCCCACACAGGUGCUGCAUGGCUGUCGUCAGCUCGUGUCGUGAGAUGUUGGGUUAAGUCCCGCAACGAGCGCAACCCUCGCCUCCAGUUGCCAUCAGGUUAAGCUGGGCACUUUGGAGGAACUGCCGGUGACAAGCCAGAGGAAGGUGGGGAUGACGUCAAGUCCUCAUGGCCCUUACGGGCUGGGCUACACACGUGCUACAAUGGUGGUGACAGUGGGCAGCGAGGCAGCGAUGCCGAGCUAAUCUCCAAAAACCAUCUCAGUUCGGAUUGCACUCUGCAACUCGGGUGCAUGAAGUUGGAAUCGCUAGUAAUCGCGGAUCAGCAUGCCGCGG
rnacentral:rRNA from 1 species